AUGGAUAGAGACAGGAACCGCGAGGUCGACGUGCCGCUCAAGGUCGACGUGAGCGAUGAAAAGGGCGAGGCGAGCAGCGGGACAUCGCUGCCGCAAAUCAUAAAUCCGCUUCUCCGCCGGCGGCACGUACUCCCCGGAGGGCGGUUCCUCGGCCUGGCACCGUAGAGCACGAAGCUGCACGAGCUCCGGUUCACCGUCCUGCCUGUCGGCGACGCGGCGGGCUCGCUGACUUGGGACGGGUCCUUGCUGGCGCCGCUGAUAUACCCCGCCCACCACACCAACACGCUGCAGGCCUUGUGGUCGAGGCUGGUCUCGCAGGUGAGCGUCCCGCCGGAGGCCACGCGCGUCCAUGUGAUGGCCGACGUCGGCAUCCUCCGGCGCGAGGACUACGCGCGGAGGCGCAUGGAGCGCGUGCGCGCCACGCUGGCGAGCAUGAUGGCGGAGCCGUGGCCCGGGUACCACGUCGCCAUGGAGCUGCGUCUGCCGGAGUCCGUGCACAUGCAAUGCGCGGAUGAAGCUGAAGCCGUCGACGGCGAGGACGUGGACUACUGCGAGCGGCCGACGAAGCGGAGGAAGAUCGUCACGGAGGAGGGCGCCGGGCAGGAGUGCCCCGUCUGCUUCGAGCCGCUGGAGAGUGACGCCGCCGCGUGGCCCGAGUGCUCCUUGCCCCACAUCUUCCAUGGCGCGUGCCUUGAGGAGACGCUCAAGGAGAGCGAGAAGUGCCCCAUCUGCAGGCGCAGGCUGUCGGCUCUGGAUGAACAGGUCUAG
rnacentral:rRNA from 1 species